AGGUAGUCGCUACGUAAUACGGUGACACGAGUGAUUUUUUCCCCGCGAGCCGCGUCCUAGUUCUCACUUCGCGCGCAAACGUUUGCACAGUGAUAAGCGAGUUCGUCUUUGUAUCAUCGCUAAGUGUCUUAACUUUUCAAUGUUUCAACGACGAAGAACCAGAAGAAGACGAAGGCUUAAAUAUAUUACUCCAAAGUUUAUACACGUGAAACAUCUUUUGAGUCGAGGCCACACCGGAUGCAGGGACACAAAGUUUCGACUCCACCAAUUCUACCAGGCCAAUGGAAUUUCCAAGGCCCUUCUGGGAUAAUGGGCCAUGGGACCGAGGGUUCAGACCUGUUUGAACCCGGCUCUCUGAACUUAAACUACAAAUGCCAGUGGGCACCCAUAUUUCGAAGUAAAUGCUCGACCCCUGCGCAUCAGUGGAAAAACGGUUGAAAUUUCAAGAAGGAACAUCUACUUUCUUACUUAAUAUCUGGUUCAUUAUUAAAUCGAUGAAUUCUCCGUUUCUGUGAAAGUAAGUAAUUCUUAAUUCGCCAAAAAAUUAAAAAUUGAUUACUAACGCCAAGGAAAACUUGUUCUUGCGAAGCUGUAAUAGACGAAUAAUAAUGAUAAUUAACUGACGCUGAAUCAAAUUCAAGGGUACUUUUAAA